AGAGUUUGAUCCUGGCUCAGGACGAACGCUGGCGGCGUGCUUAACACAUGCAAGUCGAACGAGGUUUGCGGAGGAGCUUGCUCUGAGGCAAACCGAGUGGCGGACGGGUGAGUAACGCGUGAGGAACCUGUCUUACACAGGGGGAUAACGCACCGAAAGGUGUGCUAAUACCGCAUAAGACCACACUUUCGCAUGGGAGAGGGGUCAAAGGAGAAAUCCGGUGUAAGGUGGACUCGCGUCCCAUUAGGCAGUUGGCGGGGUAACGGCCCACCAAACCGACGAUGGGUAGCCGACCUGAGAGGGUGAUCGGCCACAUUGGAACUGAGACACGGUCCAAACUCCUACGGGAGGCAGCAGUGGGGAAUAUUGGGCAAUGGGCGCAAGCCUGACCCAGCAACGCCGCGUGAGGGAAGAAGGUUUUCGGAUUGUAAACCUCUGUCCUCGAUGAAAAGGAGAAGAUGGUAAUUGAGGAGGAAGCCCCGGCUAACUACGUGCC
rnacentral:rRNA from 1 species